rnacentral:rRNA from 1 species
CGAACGGGUGAGUAACGCGUAGGUAACCUGCCUCAUAGCGGGGGAUAACUAUUGGAACGAUAGCUAAUACCGCAUAAGCAGUGAUUAACACAUGUUAGUUAUUUAAAAGGAGCAAUUGCUUCACUGUGAGAUGGACCUGCGUUGUAUUAGCUAGUUGGUGAGGUAAAGGCUCACCAAGGCGACGAUACAUAGCCGACCUGAGAGGGUGAUCGGCCACACUGGGACUGAGACACGGCCCAGACUCCUACGGGAGGCAGCAGUAGGGAAUCUUCGGCAAUGGACGGAAGUCUGACCGAGCAACGCCGCGUGAGUGAAGAAGGUUUUCGGAUCGUAAAGCUCUGUUGUUAGAGAAGAACGUUGGUAGGAGUGGAAAAUCUACCAAGUGACGGUAACUAACCAGAAAGGGACGGCUAACUACGUGCCAGCAGCCGCGGUAAUACGUAGGUCCCGAGCGUUGUCCGGAUUUAUUGGGCGUAAAGCGAGCGCAGGCGGUUCUUUAAGUCUGAAGUUAAAGGCAGUGGCUUAACCAUUGUACGCUUUGGAAACUGGAGGACUUGAGUGCAGAAGGGGAGAGUGGAAUUCCAUGUGUAGCGGUGAAAUGCGUAGAUAUAUGGAGGAACACCGGUGGCGAAAGCGGCUCUCUGGUCUGUAACUGACGCUGAGGCUCGAAAGCGUGGGGAGCAAACAGGAUUAGAUACCCUGGUAGUCCACGCCGUAAACGAUGAGUGCUAGGUGUUAGGCCCUUUCCGGGGCUUAGUGCCGCAGCUAACGCAUUAAGCACUCCGCCUGGGGAUACGC